rnacentral:ncRNA from 1 species
UAAAAUAAAAAGCAAAACAACCUAAAGGUUGUUACGCAAAAACAUAGGUCUAAAGCUUUUAAGCCAUGACUGUUAUGUCUGCCUCA